rnacentral:rRNA from 1 species
GGGAUCAUUAAGGACUGCACGUCAAGUGCUUUUCUAAAUAUCAUUACACACACACCGUGAACUGUUUAUUGAAGGGGGGACUGCCGAAACGCGGGCUCUUCUGACCAUACCUUAUUACAAGAAGUCCUGAACGUGAAAUACUAUAAAAACAAUAUAACUUUCAACAACGGAUCUCUUGGCUCUCGCAUCGAUGAAGAACGCAGCGAAUUGCGAUAAGUAAUGUGAAUUGCAGAAAUUCAGUGAAUCAUCGAAUCUUUGAACGCACCUUGCACCUUUUGGUACUCCGAAAGGUAUGCCUGUUUGAGUGUCUUAAACCUCUCACCUUUGACGGUUUCUAAUGACCGUUCAAAUGCGUGGAUUUGGGUGUCUGCCUGGUGAACAACCUUAUGGCUCGCCUUAAAAGUAUUAGCUCGGUUCUAGUUCCAUGGCCUGAGGCGUAAUAAGUUAUUCGUCUCUGGGACUUGGUCUGGUCGGCUUCCAAUACCCAUCCAAUCUUUUGAUUAGACCUCAAAUCAGGUAGGGCUACCCGCUGAACUUAA